AGGCCAGACUCCUACGGGAGGCAGCAGUGGGGAAUAUUGCACAAUGGGGGAAACCCUGAUGCAGCGACGCCGCGUGAGUGAAGAAGUAUUUCGGUAUGUAAAGCUCUAUCAGCAGGGAAGAAGUUGACGGUACCUGAGUAAGAAGCCCCGGCUAACUACGUGCCAGCAGCCGCGGGAAUACGUAGGGGGCAAGCGUUAUCCGGAUUUACUGGGUGUAAAGGGAGCGUAGACGGCAGUGCAAGUCUGAAGUGAAGGCCCCGGGCUUAACCCGGGAAUUGCUUUGGAAACUGUACGGCUGGAGUGCUGGAGAGGUAAGUGGAAUUCCUAGUGUAGCGGUGAAAUGCGUAGAUAUUAGGAGGAACACCAGUGGCGAAGGCGGCUUACUGGACUGUAACUGACGUUGAGGCUCGAAAGCGUGGGGAGCAAACAGGAUUAGAUACCCUUGUA
rnacentral:rRNA from 1 species